UACAGAGGUCUCAAGCGUUGUUCGGAUUCAUUGGGCAUAAAGGGUGCGUAGGCGGCGCGGUAAGUCGGGUGUGAAAUCUCGGAGCUUAACUCCGAAACUGCAUUCGAUACUGCCGUGCUUGAGGACUGGAGAGGAGACUGGAAUUUACGGUGUAGCGGUGAAAUGCGUAGAUAUCGUAAGGAAGACCAGUGGCGAAGGCGGGUCUCUGGACAGCUCCUGACGCUGAGGCACGAAGGUCAGGGGAGCAAACGGG
rnacentral:rRNA from 1 species